UUUGUUUGUUUUUGGUCAUUGAUGAAAAAUGGAAAAAGUGGCUGAAAAUGGACGAAAAGUUCAGGCUAUAGGCUUACUUUUUUGCUAAUUUUUGCUGCUUUAUGAGAUAAGUGGCUGAAAAUGGACGAAAAGUUAAGGCUAUAGUCUUACUUUUUUGCUAAUUUUUGCUGCUUUAUGAAAAAUGAGAAAAGUGGCUGAAAAUGGACGAAAAGUUAAGGCUAUAGGCUUACUUUUUUGCUAUUUUUUGCUGCUUUAUGAAAAAUGAGAUAAGUGGCUGAAAAUGGACGAAAAGUUAAG